GGAAGCCAUCGCUAGAUUUAUCUAAUCUACAUGCCGACGAAAAACGGCUUUGAUUACGCUAAAAUGUACGCUGGUUGCAGCAUUGCCUAAAAUGUUUAGUAGACGAGCUAUCUAAUAUUUUUAGACAACUAAAAUUUAGGAAGAGAUUGAGUUACAAUCGUUUAUGCAGCCAUCCUUGAACUGUGCUUUACGCCCGCUAGACGAUAGGGAAAGGGAACGGCAAACCACGUGGUCGGCGGAACUAUAAGCUAUGUUUUGUCUACCUACGAGAGAAAGGCGAGAGCGUAAUACUCUGGCUCUCGCUGAGAAUAAGAACUGCUGCCACAUUAAUCGGGAAUCUUUGUGUACUGCAUUUGCGAAUGAAAGAGUAGUAUUUGUAGAUUUUUUACUAUUUUUCCCCAUGCCCAAAAUCAAAAACAAACAAAAAAUACAUCAAGCGUAUCGCCAACGUAGAACUCAAAGCUUUGAUGACCCUAGAGAAAUCGAACAGAUUUAUUCCUCUCUACAGCUAUAGCCUUGUUUAAUCUCGUCAAGAAUAAUGGAACAAGUGUCCAGUGUUAGCUGAAACUUGAUCGAGUUUUCAAUGCGUAUCACAGUGAAGGACUAAUGAGAAAUCAUGCUCCAGAAUACCAAUAUAUUUUGCAGGAAGGAUUUGAGAAGGAAAUUUAUAAAAUGGUUUGAGCUGAACAUAAUAAGCUACGCGUUUUUAAUUCUCGUAAAUCUCUCACUACAAGUUUUGUAAACAAAAACAAUGUACCAAAUUUAGCUAAUUUAGAUGCAUGAAUUAGCAUCAGUGAUGGCAUGAACUCGUGCAUAGUUGAACUGAGUAACACUUUUUCAGAUUUGAAUCCAACUUGAAUCUGCUUCCCCUCGAUAGUUUGAGUUUUUUGCACCGCACACUCUGAUCGAUUGAGUUUAAAUGCGUGCAAUGCAUGCAGUGCACGAGUUUUGUUUUUAGAUUGAAUUUAUGUUUCAAAGGACAAUGCAACAAACUGUUGCAGCAGACGCGGUGCGAAUUUCGUCGCAAUUCGAUUUUUAUGCAAUUGUUGUUAUGCAGGAUUCAAACUCAAAUCCAACUCAAGUGUAAUGCACUGUCAGUAGGGUUUACGUGCAAACCGAAAAUAAAUGUGCAAGCAAGUUUUAAAACUCACUUGGAUACGAGUGCAAAGUCACACUGCCUACUCUGAUUAGCAUUAAUAAGAAAAAAAGAAAUGAAUCUUUGAUUCAGCAGAUUCAAUAUUAACAUGAAUCAAAUUCGUACUCCACUCAAUUCGUAACAAAGCAAGCACAAAUAGUAAUAUGCGGCUCAACUGUUCAUAGAUAACCAUGCGACCCCAUUGGUUCACAAGAAAUGGAAGCGGUUUGUAUUUUGAAUCAUAACGUGCUGUGUGUGAACCUCAGAGCUACAGGAAUACAUUUUAGACAAGACAAGGAAUGGUUUUUCAUACGAAUGUUUCUAAUUGAGGCCCAAGCCCCUAAAAAUGUUAAAAAAAAAUUAUUCGCCUAGCAUUUUUUGGACAAUUUGUUUGGCAAUAGCACAUUUAAAGUUUGCGUAGAUUCACGCAAGAACUGCUUACGUACAUACACUACACAUACACAACUUUAAUUUUUAAUGAGGGUAUUAAGAUAUAUUUCACAUAUUGUCUUGUUUAUUCUUUAAUAAAUACCGUUAAAAGAUUAUGACGACUUGAGCUAGUUUCAAUGAAACCCGUUAACCGUUGCCAAAAUAUGUAUUUGAAAAACCCCAAUCAACAUGGGUAAAUCAGUUGGAUUCGUGCACUAAUAGUAGUACUGAAGUGUUUAAAAAAGCAAUUCCAUGCCACAUGACCUAUCGUCCAAUUCAGACUAUUUUUGAAUUGAAUGAAACUUUGCACAGGUAUUUGCCUAAGCAAACUGAAUAUUUUUCAUAGGUAAGUGGAGGAAUUUUUUAAUUUCAAGAGUUAUUUUGUGAAAGAGCGUAUGCAUUUCGGAGUAGGCUUUAUUUAAAAAUUAUAGUUAGGAAACCUGUUUGAGAUAGAUUUCUACCAAACGGAACUUAUAAAGCCUCGUAAAAAAUAUACAUUGUGAAAAUUUUUUUUUCUAAUAAUAAUUUCAAAUAAACACAUACAAAUGUUUAAUUCAAAAUUUCGUUUUUUCGUUGUCUGGUUCUGUAAACUUAAAUUUGAUAUAACUUGAAAACAGAUGCUUUGAGAAGGCAAAUCUCCAUCAGCGUUUCCAUUAUAAAUCCCUUAUUUCACAUAAUUGCAAAACAAUGAUUCAGAAGCGUUGAAUUUGAAAAAAAUCUGAUAUUCAACCUCCAAAAAAAGUAGUAGGUUGUAUCCAAGGCACGACUUCAUAACCGACGUAAAACUACGCACACUAUUACCAAAUGCAUUGUUGAGAGUGUUGUAUUAACGACUCAUAGAGUCUACUAUUGCAUGGUAAAAUCAAUUCAUCAAUUCAUUACUUGUUUAGUGGCCAUAAGAAGGCCAGUUUGCUGCUCAAAAUUGAUAUGAUGCUGAUCGCAACCAAGAACCGUUUGGUGGCAAUAAGAUAAAAUGCUUUUGAAAAUGAUUAGUAUCUGUUAACUCUGCAGUAUGUAAUGCGGUCUAACCAACCAGAAGCACACAUCGCAAUGCUCUACCUGCUCGCCACAGCUACCUCCACGAAAUAAGCGAUUAAUUUUGACUCAUUCUCUUUUUAUAGUAAGCCAGCAACCAGCCGAUAGCAAGCGAAGGGAAAGCGAGCUUGUGAUUGGUUGAAUGAACACAAGAUUUUCCAAUUAUUACAGCAAAGUUUAGGGCAAUGUUUCAACUGUCGAUUGAGAUAGCAACGCUCUGCCUGUGUAGCACGGCCCGCGAACCAAAAUGAGUGAUUGAUUUUCGUACUACCUCUAUGUAUAGUAAUACAGCAAGCAGCAGACAAUAAGCGGAGGGAAAGCGAGCUUGUGAUUGGUUAAAAGUUGCAAAACUAAACUGAAAUUGACGGUUUUAAACUCAUUUUUCACUGAUUUACCAUCGCAAAAAUAUACUAAUUAUUAUAUCAUAAGCUUGGGGCAACCUUCACUUUUCGAUAAAGACAUUGACGUUUAAAAUCCGCUCAGAGGUAGCAACAUAAUAUGCGUUUUAAGCGGACACAUCUUCGUAGCCCUUUCCACAGCAUGCCACUACAAAAGAAAGACGUGUCCCACGUAAAACACCGGUUUCACAUUAAAAAAAUUAGACGGCUGCGGCAGAUUUUGAAUUUGACCAUAAGCAGGUUUCAACAACAUUUCAACAAGGCUUAACAAUUUUCAGUUGUACAAUAGUCAGCAUAAUCAAACAACAAUGUCCUGCAUUUGGGCGGAUGCGUGUAAUUUUUCAAUCGAUAGUUGCAAGAACGAUGGUUAUCAUUCAGAAUCAAACCGUUCUAUAAUCAUUUAAAAAGGGUUUCUGUUUAAAAGGGUUAUGUUAAUAGAUUUUCAUUUUGCAUUCCUAUGAGGUAGGCUAAAGAAAAACGUAGUUCUACGUCAAAAAUUGGUCUCAUAUUUUUCUCCACCCUGGACUUUACACAAACACUUUAUUAUGAAAUCAAGUUUCUUAAAAAAAAACAAGUUUUUUCGCGAUGUGUAUUUUAACAAGGCAUCAUUAGUUGCCUACAGUUCAUUCUCAUACAUUUUUCAUACAACCACAGGUUUCUGAACUAGUUGGUGUUGCCUGGGCAAUGUUGUCGACGCGUCGUCUGGGUCUGAGUACGACGUGAUCAUUGGCGUGUGAACCAUACUUCAACGGUGGAGGCUACGCUUCGCCAACCCGAGCGUUCUUCACAUGUCCGCGUUUCGAGCGGAUAAGGUACGAAAUGCUGGCAAUAAGUAGGACGGACACCACGCCAGAGAAUAUUGUGCGUAGGAUGUGCGAGAAUAGAGCAAUCUGGGAUGCGGUCAUCAAGGCCGCAUCACAGAUCGUUAGUAUUUUGUAGGGCACCAAUCGACGGGAAACCAUCGAUGUGCCCCAGUUAAUUAGCGGUUAACUAACUGGCCUGUAUAGGCUGCUCUGCUACCCGUAGAGGUAAGGGCAAAAAGCACGACUGGCCCUCUCCCUGAAGUAAUGCCUAACGGCGGUCCCGGGGAGACCAAGGGCUUUAGCUGUUCAGCUUAAGGUUGCUCAGCAUGGGUAAAAGCAGCACUGCUGUAGCGCCACUAGGUACAAUGGCUCCGAAUCAAAGAAAUGACUGAUUUGAUGACGAAUGCAAACAGUUAGUCUAGAAGAAAAACGCAGCACAGGCGAGAAUGCUGCAACACCGUACGAGAGCGAAAGUGGAACGAUACCGACGGGCACGGAACAGCCAUAACGCAGUCCUCCGAAGAAAGAAGGGCCAGCAAGAGGACCGAGAUCCCGUAGUGAUGGAAGAGCUAUACCAAGCUAACGAAGCUCGGAAGUUCUACAAGAAGCUGAACAACUCCCGUAAAGGUUACUCGCCGAUAUGUACUGGCUGGUGCUUGGACGGCAAUAUCCUCACGGAUGAGUGUUAUGCCUUGUUCAGACUACGCCGGAUAUCACCUGAUAUCGCCAGAUGAUAUCAGAUAUCACCUCGAGCGUUCACAUUAGAGUGAGCUGAUAUGAUUUGACAUUUGCUUCGGUAAUUGAAAAGAGAAAAAACAAAAACAGGCCAAAGCUAAAACAAGACAACAAGAGCAAUGGGAUUAGGAUAGAGAUGUCAGCGAGUUGGUUCGCACCAACGCGAACUCUCAUAUGCAAUUGUCAAUAUGUGCGGGAUGAAAAUAACCAAAAUAUUUCCUUCCUUUUUUCUCGCAUGCAACGCGAAGUUCGAAAUUUGUAGGGUUGCGUCAAAAGUCAUUUGGCCGUGUUUCCAACUGCUUGAAAUGUGGUUAUUACUGGUUUUCGAAAAUGAUAUCCGCGAUAGCAUGUAGCCGAGGUGAUAUCCGUUGACAGCUCGAUUGUAUGGGAUAUCAGGUAAUCUGGAUGGUGAUAUGGCCUCGAUAGCACGAAUCGUCUGAUAUCAGGUGAUAUGCGAAUGCGGUGUAGUGUGAACGGGGUAUUAGAUGGUCGAAAGGUAGAAGCCACACAUUGAUUUGCAUCUGAGCAGCGAUGCAGUAUAAUGCGAGGAUGGUUUGAUCUUGGUGCACGAGCACAAGACAACAGGAUUCCAGUCCCCGAUCUCCUGGAUGCGGAGGAGGAGAUUGGUCGGCUGACUUCCUAGCGAGCUGUUGAAAUACGGUGGAGAAAUACUGGCUAGAACCGUGCACUGGGUCAUUGAUUUGGGAAGGAAAACGAGUACCAGAGGAGUGGAUAGAAGGUAUUGUGUGUCACAUCUACAAAAAGAUGACAAGUCGGAGUGCUGCAAUUACCGGACAAUCACUCUGCUGAACCCCGCUUAUGAAGUACUCUCACAGAUACUCUGCCGUCGACUAUCACCAUUUGCGAAGCGGUUCGUGGGACACUACCAGGCGGGAUUCAUGGGUUUCCGCGCCAUCACGAAUCAAAAAUUCGUGGUUCGGCUGAUUAAGCUGGAACGCCGCGAAUACAACGUGCCGACACAUCAUCCAUUCAUUGAUUUGAAAUCGGCAUACAAAACAUCGAUCGAGACCAACUAUAGCAAAAUAUGCACGAAUACGGAUUUCCGGACAAACUAACGUUGUCGGUCAAAGCGACGUUGGAUCGAGAGAUGUGUGCAGCUCAAGUAUCGGGAGCAUUUUCGAGCCCCUCCGAAACUCGAAUAGGUUUAAGGCAAGGUGAUGGAGUCUCGUGCCUACUGUUUAAUAUUGCCCUUGACGGUGUCAUUAAAGGAGCGGGGGUAAUAACACGAGUGGUACGAUAUUCCAAAAGUCGGUUAAACGUACAACGAACAUACCGUCAGUUGAAUUCAAUACUAGCGCAACUCAAAAUUUUGCAAAAUUUUGCAUUAACUAAAAUAUCUCUAAAAAUACAUUCCGUGGACUGGUCAUCAAUGCAUCGAAGACGAAGUACAUGAAAGAGAAGGGUUCACGAGUAGACAGUGCUCCCACCUUGAGUUCAAGUUGGUGGUGAUGAAAUCGAGGUGGUCGGGUGGUGGGCUCACUGGUAACUGUUGACAAUGAUACCCGCCGAAAAAUUCAGCGGCGCAUUAUGGCAGAAAUCAUGCAUACUUUGGUCUCCGGUAGACGAUCCGAUCGAGUAGAAUUCACCGCCGCACUAAGUUUACCAUUUACAGAACACUGAUUAGACCGGUAGUCCUCUUCGACCAUGAGACAUGGACUAUGCUUAAGCAGGACCAACGCGCCCUUGCAGGUUUCGAGCGGGAGCUGUAGCGUACCAACUUCGGCGGGCUGCAGAUGGAGAACGGAACGUGGAGAAGGCGAAUGAACCACGAUCUGUAGGAGCUUCUCGGGGAGCCAUCUAUCGUCCACACUGCCAAGAUUAGCAGGUUGCGGUGGGCUGGGCAUGUCGUACGGAUAACGGACGACAGCCCGGUAAAAAUGGUUCUUGAAACCAAUCCGUCAGGGACGAGACGGAGAGGUGCACAGCGGGCAAGAUGGAUGGAAUAGGUGGAGACGAUCUACGGACUCUACGCAGAUCGAAGAGCUGGUAAACUGCAGCCAUGGAACUAGUGAAAUGGAGAAGCCUCUUACGUUCAGCAAAGGCCACGCCUACGGCUUGGGACUGUUUGGUAAGUCGACAGCAAAUUUUGUCAAACAUAAAUAUAAAUAUUAAAUUUUAAUUACGGAAGGACCGCACAUUGAUAACGUCUGAGAAAUACCGACCAUCAACCAAAUUAUGAUCGGUCUGAGAGUAAACUUCGCCAUGGAUUGUUGUCCUGUGUGUAAUUCAAACUCAGUUUUCUCCCAUCUCUUCUUCUAGAUAUUAAUACAGCGUGAAUAUUUAAUCAGUAUACUGCUGUUUCAAUUUAAAAUACGAAAGGGAUUAACUUACCAGUCGAAUUACUGCACUCGGAUAGAAAUACACUAUUUGCUAGCAACAAAAAUAACAGUUUAGGUAGUCUCAAAUGUUUUAAAUAACUUCAUUCAAACUUUGAGUUAAUAAGCUUUAUCGUAAACAACAAACUGAAAGACUACUGAAACCACCAACCUAAAUUCUCGCCAAACAUGUGAAAAGGGCCCAUGUGCCAUAUGUAA